GACAGCAGCCGCCACGGUAAUACGUAGGUGGCAAGCGUUGUCCGGAAUUAUUGGGCGUAAAGGGCUCGCAGGCGGUUUCUUAAGUCUGAUGUGAAAGCCCCCGGCUCAACCGGGGAGGGUCAUUGGAAACUGGGAGACUUGAGUGCAGAAGAGUAGAGUGGAAUUCCACGUGUAGCGGUGAAAUGCGUAGAGAUGUGGAGGAACACCGGUGGCGAAGGCGACUCUCUGGUCUGUAACUGACGCUGAGGAGCGAAAGCGUGGGGAGCGAACAGGAUUAGAUACCCCCGUAGUCCCUGUCUCUUAUAC
rnacentral:rRNA from 1 species